UACGUAGGUGGCAAGCGUUGUCCGGAUUUAUUGGGCUUAAAGGGUGCGUAGGCGGUCUAUUAAGUCAGUGCUGAAAUAUCCCGGCUUAACCGGGAGGGUGGCAUUGAUACUGAUGGACUUGAGUAGAGUCGAGGUAGGCGGAAUUGACGGUGUAGCGGUGAAAUGCUUAGAUAUCGUCAAGAACACCGAUAGUGUAGACAGCUUACUAGGCGCAAACUGACGCUGAGGCACGAAAGUGUGGGGAUCAAACAGG
rnacentral:rRNA from 1 species